rnacentral:rRNA from 1 species
GAACCACACAAACGUUAUUCGGAAUUACUGGGCUUAAAGGGUGCGUAGGCUGUGCGGAAAGUUGGGUGUGAAAGCCCCCGGCUCAACCGGGGAAUUGCGCCCAAAACUACCGUGCUUGAGAAAGACAGAGGUGAGCGGAACUGAGGGUGGAGCGGUGAAAUGCGUUGAUAUCCUCAGGAACACCGGUGGCGAAAGCGGCUCACUGGGUCUUUUCUGACGCUGAUGCACGAAAGCUAGGGGAGCAAACGGGAUUAGAUACCCCGGUAGUCCUAGCCGUAAACGAUGAGCACUGGGUUGAAGGGACCCCCAUAUCCUUUCAGCCGCAGCAAAAGUGUUAAGUGCUCCGCCUGGGGAGUAUGGUCGCAAGGCUGAA